rnacentral:rRNA from 1 species
AGCGAACGCUGGCGGCAGGCCUAACACAUGCAAGUCGAACGCACCUUCGGGUGAGUGGCGGACGGGUGAGUAACACGUGGGAACGUACCUUUUGGUUCGGAAUAACGCAGGGAAACUUGUGCUAAUACCGAAUGUGCCCUUCGGGGGAAAGAUUUAUCGCCAUUUAGAGCGGCCCGCGUUAGAUUAGCUAGUUGGUGGGUAAAGGCCCACAAGGCUACGAUCUAUAGCUGGUCUGAGAGGAUGAUCAGCCACAUUGGGACUGAGACACGGCCCAAACUCCUACGGGAGCAGCAGUGGGGAAUCUUGCGCAAUGGGCAAAGCCUGACGCAGCCAUGCCGCGU